rnacentral:snRNA from 1 species
AUCGCUUCUCGGCCUUUUGGCUAAGAUCAAGUGCAAGUGCUUUGCUUAUGUUAGCCUUGAUUUGGAACACAUUUAAUGUUUUUAAGGUGCCCGAAUUAUAAUUUAUCAGUUUUGAAAAGCAUUCAUCCUAAAGUAGUGAAAGUUUA